rnacentral:rRNA from 1 species
CGGGGGGAGCAAGCGUUGUUCGGAUUUACUGGGCGUAAAGGGCGCGUAGGCGGCCACCGCAAGUCGACUGUGAAAUCUCCGGGCUUAACCCGGAAAGGUCAGCCGAUACUGCGGGGCUAGAGUGCAGAAGGGGCAACUGGAAUUCUCGGUGUAGCGGUGAGAUGCGUAGAUAUCGAGAGGAACACCUGCGGCGAAGGCGGGUUGCUGGGCUGACACUGACGCUGAGGCGCGAAAGCUAGGGGAGCGAACGGGAUUAGAUACCCCGGUAGUCCUAGCCUUAAACGAUGAAUGCUUGGUGUCUGGGGUUUUAUAGUCCCCGGGUGCCGUCGCUAACGCUUUAAGCAUUCCGCCUGGGGAGUACGGUCGCAAGACUG